GAUGAACGCUGGCGGCGUGCCUAAUACAUGCGAGUCGAGCGAACGGACGAGAAGCUUGCUUCUCUGAUGUUAGCGGCGGACGGGUGAGUAACACGUGGAUAACCUACCUAUAAGACGGGGAUAACUUCGGGAAACCGGAGCUAAUACCGGAUAAUAUUUUGAACCGCAUGGUUCAAAAGUGAAAGACGGUCUUGCUGUCACUUAUAGAUGGAUCCGCGCUGGAUUAGCUAGUUGGUAAGGUAACGGCUUACCAAGGCAACGAUGCAUAGCCGACCUGAGAGGGUGAUCGGCCACACUGGAACUGAGACACGGUCCAGACUCCUACGGGAGGCAGCAGUAGGGAAUAUUCCGCAAUGGGCGCAAGCCUGACGCAGCCACGCCGCGUGAGUGAUGAAGGUCUUCGGAUCGUAAAACUCUGUUAUUAGGGAAGAACAUAUGUGUAAGUAACUGUGCACAUCUUGACGGUACCUAAUCAGAAAGCCACGGCUAACUACGUG
rnacentral:rRNA from 1 species